UUCCCACGCCGGGAAUCGAACCCGUGCCAUCUGGGUGAAAGUCAGAUAUAUUAGCUACUAGACUACAUGGAA